rnacentral:rRNA from 1 species
AUUGAACGCUGGCGGCAUGCCUUACACAUGCAAGUCGAACGGCAGCACGGGGUAACCUGGUGGCGAGUGGCGAACGGGUGAGUAAUGCAUCGGAACGUACCUUUCAGUGGGGGAUAACGUAGCGAAAGUUACGCUAAUACCGCAUAUUCUGUGAGCAGGAAAGCAGGGGAUCGCAAGACCUUGCGCUGAUUGAGCGGCCGAUGUCAGAUUAGCUAGUUGGUGAGGUAAAGGCUCACCAAGGCGACGAUCUGUAGCGGGUCUGAGAGGAUGAUCCGCCACACUGGAACUGAGACACGGUCCAGACUCCUACGGGAGGCAGCAGUGGGGAAUUUUGGACAAUGGGGGCAACCCUGAUCCAGCCAUGCCGCGUGAGUGAAGAAGGCCUUCGGGUUGUAAAGCUCUCUCGGCCGGGAAGAAAUCGCACGGGCUAAUACCCUGUGUGGAUGACGGUACCGGAAUAAGAAGCACCGGCUAACUACGUGCCAGCCGCCGCGGUAACAC